rnacentral:rRNA from 1 species
UACGUAGGGUGCAAGCGUUGUCCGGAAUUAUUGGGCGUAAAGGGCUCGUAGGCGGUCCAUCGCGUCGGGAGUGAAAAGCUGGGGCUUAACCCCAGUCCUGCUUCCGAUACGGGUGGACUAGAGGUAGGUAGGGGAGAUCGGAAUUCCUGGUGUAGCGGUGAAAUGCGCAGAUAUCAGGAGGAACACCGGUGGCGAAGGCGGAUCUCUGGGCCUUACCUGACGCUGAGGAGCGAAGGCCAGGGGAGCAAACGGG